rnacentral:sRNA from 1 species
ACUGUUUGUAUCUCUUCUAAUCUGAUUCCAGAUCAUUUCAUUGACUUUUGUCUAUCCUUUUUAUACUCUCUUGAACUGUAUCUCUGAUUCUGCAGUCACUGCAGCUACCUUUUACCCCACCUCAGUCUCUGUGCCAUUGGACCUUAUUGUUAGGAGGACCCAGUGGUGUUCCCAGACGCUGUGAGAACUCAAGCAUUCCCUGGUCCUUUUGCACCCCUUUUACCCCCACAGGCCUUCAUCAGUGGUGCUGGUGAGUCAGACGUCUAUGUGGUCAUGUGCCGAACAGGAGGGCCAGGCCCCAAGGGCAUCUCAUGCAUAGUUGUUGAGAAGGGGACCCCUGGCCUCAGCUUUGGCAAGAAGGAGAAAAAGCUGCUUACGUUGGUGCACUUUGUUGCUCCAGGAAGAGACGCUUAGAGAAGACCUGGUGUUGGCCACAAGUCUCAGUAAUGGAAGGCAUGUGGUCCCUUUUUCUUCUUUGAUUAAAAAUAAAGUAAAACUCAUUGGAGAUGAUUGUGGGUAUUUCAGCAACCUAAGAAGGACACUUAGGUACUGUAAGUAAUUUGAAAAGUAAGAUACUUCUAGGAUUAAGAGCCGCCAUGGCCAGGGCAUGAACAGGAGACCUGUGAUCAUGUAACCGUAAUUGGUAAUAAGGGCUCAAGACCCAUUCAGAUUUUUUAGACCAGAUGCUCAAAGCAGUCAUCUCUCUCUAGUUUGUACUGUUAUGGGGGGACUUUGUGAGAGAAGGCAGGUAAUGAAAUGACCCCUAAGUGUACCUCUUUCUCACAGCUCCUCGGGUUUCUGUAUUUUCCUACAGGAUCCUUCCUGAUCCUCUGUAACUGCAAGGCACUAUGCAUUUUAGCAUCCCCUUCUCUUUGGUAACACAGCAACCAUUU